GAUGAACGCUAGCUACAGGCUUAACACAUGCAAGUCGAGGGGAAACGGCAUCGAAAGCUUGCUUUUGAUGGGCGUCGACCGGCGCACGGGUGAGUAACGCGUAUCCAACCUGCCCAUCACUUGGGAAUAACCUUGCGAAAGUAAGACUAAUGCCCAAUGACAUCCCACGAAGGCAUCCGAAUGGGAUUAAAGAUUUAUCGGUGAUGGAUGGGGAUGCGUCUGAUUAGCUUGUUGGCGGGGUGACGGCCCACCAAGGCAACGAUCAGUAGGGGUUCUGAGAGGAAGGUCCCCCACAUUGGAACUGGGACACAGUCCAAACUCCUACGGGAGGCAGCAGUGAGGAAUAUUGGUCAAUGGGCGAGAGCCUGAACCAGCCAAGUAGCGUGCAGGAUGACGGCCCUAUGGGUUGUAAACUGCUUUUAUAAGGGAAUAAAGUGGGUCACGUGUGACUUUUUGCAUGUACCUUAUGAAUAAGGACCGGCUAAUUCCGUG
rnacentral:rRNA from 1 species